rnacentral:rRNA from 1 species
AUGGCUGCUGCAAUCAUGAGCCCUCACCAUCUUCUCUCUGUCUGCGCGUACAUCAUCGUUUGCCUCUGCUACUUGCUCGGUCUGGCUACCGCGCUCUCCUUCAGCUUCAACUUCUCCAGCCCCGGCUCCGGCGAUCUCUGCGACAUGGAGCUCAGCUGCGAACGUGACGCAUGGAUGGGUUCUGGCGCCAUCGACCUAACGAGGAACUACAUCGCAGCCAACGUCUUCAGUGUUGGCCGGGCAUCGUACGCUCGCCCGGUGCCGCUCUGGGACGACGCCACCGGCGAGGCGGCCAGCUUCUCCUCCAACUUCACGUUCCAGAUCAAGCCCCAAAACAGAUCGGAAGACAAUGUUGGUCUAUGUAACUCGAGCCUCACCAGCGACUCUAGUGCUGACGGUAUAUCUUUCUUCCUGGCGCACUACCCGUCGAGGCUCCUUCCCGACAGCGGGGGCGAAAACCUUGCUCUUUUCAAUUUCAGUAAUCGCUUCAACGUCACCGGUGAUGCGCGGUUAGUCGCGGUGGAGUUCGACACCUACCUCAACCCCUGGGACCACAGCGACAACCACAUGGGCAUAGACGUCAACUCCCUCAACUCCACGGCCUACACGAACGUGACCAAGCGCCUAGUCUCGAAUGACGCCAUCAUGACCGCCCAAAUCAGCUACGACAACCGCACCGGUCUUCUGGUCGCCCUUCUCCAGAUCAACGGUGACGAGCCGCCAUACAGCAUAAGCACGUCGGUGGACAUGAAGAGGGAGCUACCCCAGCAAGUCUCAGUCGGCUUCGCGGCAUCAACUGGUCUCUGCGCCGCGCUGCACCGUGUGACGUCCUGGUCGUUUAGCUCCACUCUAGAUGAUGCCUCGGUGCCUACCAAUAACAGUCCACGGCGACGCCUACCACCUGUGCAUGUGCUGGUGCCAUCAGCAACAACAGCUUUUCUUGUGUUGCUCUGCAGUGCCGCCGCCAUCAUAGUUCGUCAGCGACGCAAACGUAAGCAAGCUGAGUUCGAGAAAGGGGUAGGACCUAGACGGUACCGCUACUGUGAGCUCGCAGCAGCCACAAAUGACUUCGCGGAGCAGGGGAAGCUUGGGCAAGGGGGCUUCGGUUGCGUCUACCAGGGCAGCGGCCUUAGCGACCACGAGAGCCCGGUGGCCAUCAAGAUGCUCUCCAUGGAAUCAUCUGCGCAGGGGAGGAAAGAGUUCGAGGCGGAGGUGAAGAUUAUAAGCCGGCUCAGGCACCGGAACCUUGUGCACUUGCUAGGAUGGUCCGACAGCGGCAAGAGGCUCCUGCUCGUCUAUGAGCUCAUGCCGAAAGGCAGCCUCGACCGACACAUUUACAGCAAGAAACGUGUGCUCACUUGGCCAGAAAGAUACAAGAUCAUCCUUGGCCUGGGAUCUGCACUACGCUAUCUCCACACAGAGUACGACCAAUGUGUGUUGCAUGGUGACAUAAAACCCGAAAACAUACUCCUCGACUCAUCAUGGAGCACCAAGCUGGCAGAUUUUGGGCUGGCAAGGCUUGUGGAUCAUGGAGCCGGGCCACAGACGACGAAGAUCAUCAAGGGCACUCCAUGGUACAUAGACCCAGAGUUUAUUCACACACACCAUCCGACCCCAAAAGCGGACAUCUACAGCUUCGGCGUCGUUCUGUUGGAGGUAGUGUCCGGCAAGCACCCAGGAAUGGGGAAGAAAGAAAGGGUUAAUGAUGACAUCCCACUGCUCAAUUGGAUCCGGGGCCUGUACGAGAAGGGUAGCAUCCUUGAAGCGGUGGAUGAAAGGCUACAUGGGGACAACCAGCAGCUCGACCACAGCUAGGAGGGGAAGCUCGGGCGAGGGGGCUUCGGCAACGUCUACUGGGGCGGCAGCCUCAGUGAUCAAGACAGCCCGGUGGCCAUCAAGAUGUUGUCUGCGGAAUCGUCUGCGCAGGGGAGGAAAGAGUUCGAGGCGGAGGUGAAGAUCAUAAGCCGGCUGAGGCAUCGGAACCUUGUGCACUUGCUAGGAUGGUCCGACAGCCGCAAAGGGCUCAUGCUCGUCUAUGAGCUUGUGCCGGAAGGCAGCCUCGACCAACACAUUUACAGCACUAGUCGUCUGCUCACUUGGUCAGAGAGGACAUGGCACCAAGCUGGUAGACUCGGGCUGGCCAGGCUCGUGGAGCAUGGAGCUGAGGCUCGGACGACACGGGUCGUCAUGGGCAUCGUGGGGUACAUAGACCCGGAGUUCAUCCGCACGUGCUGGUCGAGCACCGAAGCAGAUGUCUAUAGCUUUGGAGUCGUCCUGCUGGAGGUCGUGUCCGGCCAGCGGCCAAACUUGGGGAUGGAAGAGACGGCCGACAAAGCCAUCCCGCUGCUCAGGUGGAUCUGGGACCUGUACGAGAAGGGUGCCAUCGUUGAAGCGGUUGAUGAGAGGUUAAAGCGGGGAGAUACACAGCAGCUCGACAGCGACGGUGGCUGUAAGUGGCAGAUGCACCGCGCACUGGUCGUGCGGCUCUGGUGCACGCGUACUCACCCGGGCGAACGACUGUCUGAAGGACGUCAUGCUGCCGGCCCUGUCACUGCCGGCCUAGCUGACGUUACCCCUGGAUCACAUGGUUACAACAAUGUGUCUACAUCGUCGGCCAAUGCUUGCAGCGAGGUGUCUUGGGCCAGCAGCGGCAGAUGA